rnacentral:tRNA from 1 species
GGGGAUGCGGCUCAGUGGUAGAGUGCUCACGUUGCGCGUGUGCGGCCCUGGGUUCGAUUCUCAGCACCACA